ACUAAAUGGCAGUGCCAUGGUUGCAUAGUGCAGAUUAAAGGGCGGUAUUAUCCCCUUCUGACAUCACAAGGGGAGCCACAUUUCAAUGACCUAUUUUUUCACAUGUUUGCAGAGAAUGGUUUACCAAAACCAAGUUACUGGCUUGAUCUUUUUUACAUUUUCUAGGUUGACACAAGCACUAGGGACCCAAUUAUAACACUUAAACAUAGAAACAGUCAGAUUUUCAUGAUAUGUCCCUUUUAAGUAAGUGAAUGUGCUAUUUCACAAUGUAAAUUAUAUUGAUAAAGUGAACUAACAGUCUAACAAGACCCCCAUGUUAAACCAAGAUGUCAACUAAAAGGGUCACAGCACCUCACUGAUGAAAACUCAUGCAUAGCCAUAAUAAAACCUCAUGUUUAAGUGUAAAUUUUUAAUAUGAUCCUAAUAUCUAUAUGCAUUUCCAGGCUUUUCAGUAAUGUCACAAUGUCCUAAAUGCACAAGUGUAUUCAAGUUUCAGAACUGCUGCAUUGGCCAAAGUUUUGACCAGACUUAAUAUACACCAAGCACUUCACAAUCUACAGAUGCACAAACAAACUUAAAAAGAAAACAACUCGCGCUACAAACAAGCAACAGCCAACAACAAAGCUUGUUUAUGCGAAUAAUCAAAGUCGGCUAUUUGAAUUACUUGACAUUCACCAACUUUGUGAAACGCGGACAAGCACAAUGCACAGCCAACUAAAAAGGAAGUGCCAUGUCAAUCGACUCAACGCGACAAUGAUGGCCGUGCAUAUCUUGAUGCACAGCAACUAUCCCGCGACAAACACAUCCACACACGUCACUAAAAACACUUUAUCCAUAACAUAGUUAUUUAUCGAUAUAAACACAAAAAGCAACUCGCCCCCCACCCACGCCAGACAUUAUCAAACGAUUAAAAACGAAGUCGACGCAAGCGCGCGUUACUCUAAAAAGUGAUGGCUACAACCGCGUGUUAUACUGGCAGGUCAGUGACGGCAGCCAUGACAGUUCCAUCCGGGUUCCGCUUGCUCUGAAGCGCGUGAGGCAGGAACUCGAAGCGGAUGAAUAUGGAUUACCUGCAAAGUCUCAUUAGGUUGGCUUUACCAACAGAUAUUUCUGUUUGUCUCUCAAAUCAAAUUGUCUACGUGAAAUAAAACAUCCCUUCUGGUGAUAAAUAAUAAUUUUCAGAUGAAUUAAUAUCAAUUAAGUUUCGUGUAGCGUUUGUCCGCUUCGGAGCUGGCCAUGCUGUUGUUUUGUAGACACUAGGGACGCCAUCUUGACUUACUGUAUCAUUACUCCAAUGUUACAACAGCGUUUAUCAGCUCAGUCUCUGAUGUUAAUGGCGCCCAAACAUGCUGCAAAUAGAUGUAUGAAUCAAUGUGCUAUUAUGAUGAUGGUGAUAUUUCCUCUAUGGUAGUUAUCUAACUAUGUAACAAUUGCUAUGCAAAUUGCCCACCAUUUACAAAUAAUACUCAUACCUAUAUGCGCACAAAGAACAUUUCACUACAAUUGUUGUUGAAUCAAAAUUUGUUUUAAGGACGAAUUAAAGUUAUAUAUUCUGAAAUA